rnacentral:tRNA from 1 species
AAAGUUUUAUUAUAUUUAGUAUAUAUUGUUGUCAACAAUAAGGUUGUAAACUUUA